GGGGGUAUAGCUUAAUGGAAGAGCUCAUACUUUGCAAGUAUGUAGGUAUUGGUUCAAAUCCAAUUAUCUCCA
rnacentral:tRNA from 1 species